UCGAAGAUUCUGACACUGUUCCUUAGAAUGAUCUGAUAGACUAGCCCCCAGCCGGGCUCAGGCACACAGUAGAUGUUCAACCAAGUUCUGUAGGAAUGAAAGAAACGCAGAGCGAAGGGUCCUUGGCCCAAACACAGGAUGGCAUGACCCAGCCAGGCACUUGGCUUUCUGGAAGGACCCUGUGCCCUUGCCGCCUGGCAGGUUCGACCAUCUGGUGGCCAUCGAGCUCCCGGGAAGGGCUGUGCGUGGCAAUUACUACAAUGCGGGAGAUGAAGAUCCAGCCCUUGGUGGACCCUGUGGGUAAUCCUUUCAGAUCACAGAGGAUUCCUGGAAUCUCGUCGAGACCAGCCAGAAGAAUCUAGAAGGACAGAGGAAAAUUGCUUCCUUUGUGACAGUUGUUGGCACAGUCUGAGACCUCAGUUUUACUGGCUGGAUACUACUCACCCUGAAGCUGCUGCAGCUGAGAAAUCUGUGGACAACUGAUGAAAGCGGGCAGCUAGUUCGAGUUCUUACCUGUUGGUCAGCCUCCCAGAUCUCUGCUUGCGGGUCUGGUGGAAGUGAGAGUGACCAGAGCCCUUUGUCUCUUUUCUACAAUUAAAUUAACAGGAGAAAAUAUCUGUGGAGCUAGUUCCUUGGACCCAGCAACUCUUGGUUUGAAAAUCGGCAGAGUGCUCCGGAUUUGUUGAUCCUUUUCCUCCCAAAGAUGGUUAUUG
rnacentral:lncRNA from 1 species